CUGAGGAAACAAUUCUGAAGUUUCACAUUCCCUGGCUAUUUGUUCCCUUAUUCACAAGCAGAAUCACUGGGCUGUCUGCAGAGCCCAUAUAUGCUACUACAAAGUUUCAGCAUGCAACAGUCCUAAAAACAUAAUGUCCACAGGGAGUGAACACUGCAUUUCGACUGUAUACAGCCUGACUAGGACCACAGACUAGAGAAGGAAGAGUGUCUCAAGGAGCUCAAGUGUGCUGCAGAGCUCAUCAUCUGCAAAAUAGAUCACUCAUCAUCUGCAAAGAACUUGGAGAACCUGAAGCGACAUACACAGGAAAAUUGCCAGUCCUCUGUUCAGUAUUCAUGUGUUUCCCAAGCAACUACCUACUGACAAGCAAUUACAUCCAAUUUCUUAAUAGCAGAAAGCGGGAGGACUAUUCCUGCAUGAAAAAGCCCAGGAUCAUCUGGAGGCUUCGUAAGACCCUUGAAGUCACUUGACCUCCUACUUUGCUGUGGCUCACCUUCCACAACUCACAGAAAUGAAUGUACUUCAGCAAAGAUUAUUAUUCAUUCCUUCAAACCCACCUCCACUUCUAUUUUGCUUGCUGUGCUGACAACAUACAGAUCUCUACAAAGCUACUAUUCUGGCCAUUGAGCAUGAAGUUGCUGCACUUAUGAACUCAAAAACCAUCAAUCAGUUUGAGAACCUAGACGUUCAAAGCAUAAAUGGGAUUCUGGAUAUGCAAAUGAAGAACAAUAACAAGUUGAUUAGUUAAUUAAUAUUUCUUCACAGGAUAAGUUGAGUACAGAAUGUGUUAGACAAAAAUCAUUUUGGAGAAAGGCAGGGUAUAGAUAAAGAUUUCUUCAUACUGAGCAGGAAAAGAAAACAUUUUCAACAGUAUAAAGUCAACAUUAAAACAAUAUUUUAAUAAAAUCAUAGAAUGGUUUGAAUUGGAAUGAAACCAAGAUUAUCUAAUUCCAACUCCCCUGCCACGGACAGGGACACCUUUCUGCAGAAUUUACUUCCAAAAACAGGUUUUCACAGUUGCCAAAAAUAAAAAGUACACUCUAUGGCUAUAGAAGAAACACUGUGUGUUCAGCCUGCUCUGCCAACUAAGCUCAUACUCCAAACCUUCAAGGGCCUCAGAAAAUGAACAUAGCAAAUACAACUACUUACGUUUGUCACAGGCAAAAAAAGUGGCAUGAUGACCAACAGUUGGUGUGAACGGUCAAUAGCUGGAAGUCACUUUAACUCGCUUUGCUACAGGUAUCAGAUAUAAUAAAGAUCUCGGUUCUAUAAACACAUAGAAGGGCCCUGGAAUUUCCAUAUCAGUCAUAAAUGAAGCCCGAUGAGAAUUAUCACAAAAACAGAG
rnacentral:lncRNA from 1 species